AGGACAACUUGGGGGCUCUGAUGGACAAAAAGCUUGACAUAUGACCACUUGCAGUCAAGAAGGUCAACUACAGCCUGGGCUGCAUCAACAGAGGAAUGGCCAGCAGCUCAAGGGAGGUGAUUGUCCCCUUCUGUUCUACCCUCGUGAAGCCCCACCUGGAAUGCUGCAUUCAGCUCUGGGGCCCCCAGCACAAGAAGGAUAUGGACAUUAUAGU